GGGGGGGGGGGGGGGGGGGGCGGGGGGGGGCAGGGCGGGCGGGGACUUCGGUUCGAGCGGCGGGCGGGGGAGUAACGCGUGGGAAUGUGCCCUUCUCUACGGAAUAGCCCUGGGAAACUGGGAGUAAUACCGUAUACGCCCUAUUGGGGAAAGAUUUAUCGGAGAAGGAUCAGCCCGCGUUGGAUUAGGUAGUUGGUGGGGUAAUGGCCUACCAAGCCGACGAUCCAUAGCUGGUUUGAGAGGAUGAUCAGCCACACUGGGACUGAGACACGGCCCAGACUCCUACGGGAGGCAGCAGUGGGGAAUCUUAGACAAUGGGGGCAACCCUGAUCUAGCCAUGCCGCGUGAGUGAUGAAGGCCUUAGGGUUGUAAAGCUCUUUCAGCUGGGAAGAUAAUGACGGUACCAGCAGAAGAAGCCCCGGCUAACUCCGUG
rnacentral:rRNA from 1 species